CUGAAUUCAUAGAGAACAUCACUCACUUUGAAAAUCCCUCAAAAAUCCAAUACUGAUCCAAACGACACGAAAUCACCUCUCAAAAAUCCAUCCACAAGUCUUCUCUCUAAUUCAGCUCUUUGAUCUCCUAGAAAAUCCUUGAAUCGCCGUCAAAGUGUGGUUUUGUGCUUGAGGGUCUGAUUUCAAUCCAGGUUCAUAACUGGUCCUCUUCGGGUAUCAACUUUUGUCUUCUUGAGGUAAUUUUUACUAAUUUGCACUCCUAAUUCCUCUCUAUAUAUGCCUAUAUCCUUUAUUUUUCUAAUCUAUCUUAUUUUGCCUUAUUUAUGGCCUUACAAAGUAAAUAGAAGCAUAAUUUGUAAAUAGGCAGCAUUAGCACCUUU
rnacentral:lncRNA from 1 species